CCUCCCGGUUUUCAUCCCCGAUUGCGUAAGGAUUGUUUUCUCUUUGAAAACAAAAAAAACAGUGCCACUUUUUUUUCUCACUGUUUUAGAAGGUGGGGUAAUAACCCCCAAAAGGACCACCCCUUUUUUUUUUUGCCCCCCACCAUUAGGGGGGGGCAUUCAAGAGGAGCUUCCGGGGUAAAAUCGGGGGAAAGGGGGGGAAGACUAAAAUUAUUCAUCCCCUUAUGGCCGGGGGUUACACCAUUGUUCCAAUGUCGGGUCCAAAAGUUUGCCCACCCCAAGGUGGAGUUAUUUCAUAAAACCGGUCCCAGUUCGGAUUGGAGUGUUUCAACUCCGCCUCCAUGAAGUCGGAUUUUGCCUAAGUAAAUCGCGAAUCAUGAAUUCCUAUCAUAUACGUCUA
rnacentral:rRNA from 1 species